UAAGGAAUAUUGGACAAUGGAGGCAACUCUGAUCCAGCCAUGCCACGUGAAGGAAUAAGGCCCUAUGGGUUGUAAACUUCUUUUAGACGGGACAAAACCCCUUUACGUGUAAAGGGUUGAUGGUACUGUCAGAAUAAGCAUCGGCUAACUUCGUGCCAGCAGCCGCGGUAAUACGAGGGAUGCAAGCGUUAUCCGGAAUUAUUGGGUUUAAAGGGUGCGUAGGCGGACUAAUAAGUCAGUGGUGAAAGCCUGCAGCUUAACUGCAGAAUUGCCAUUGAUACUGUUAGUCUUGAGUACAGUUGAGGUAGGCGGAAUGUGUCAUGUAGCGGUGAAAUGCUUAGAUAUGACACAGAACACCGAUUGCGAAGGCAGCUUGCUAAGCUGUAACUGACGCUGAGGCACGAAAGCGUGGGGAGCAAACA
rnacentral:rRNA from 1 species